rnacentral:misc_RNA from 1 species
GUCGUUCUGUUUAUGCAAAUAUUCAGAAAUUCAUUCAGUUCCAGCUCACUGUUAAUGUCGCAGCUCUUGUAAUCAAUGUUGUGGCAGCAGUUUCUUCUGGUGAUGUUCCUCUAAACACAGUGCAGCUUCUUUGGGUCAAUCUCAUUAUGGAUACUCUGGGAGCACUAGCUUUGGCUACUGAACCACCAACUGACCAUCUUAUGCAUAGACCUCCUGUUGGUCGAAGGGAACCUCUGGUGACAAAUAUCAUGUGGAGGAACUUGCUUAUUCAGGCUCUCUACCAAAUCGGAAUCCUUCUUCUACUCAAUUUCCAGGGCAAGAGCAUUCUCAGCUUAGAGAAUGAUGACCCAAAACAUGCUAAUAUGGUGAAGAAUACCUUAAUUUUCAAUGCAUUUGUUUUCUGCCAAAUAUUCAAUGAGGUUAAUGCUCGAAAGCCAGAUGAAAUGAAUGUCUUUACUGGCGUGACCAAAAAUCCCCUCUUUACUGGGGUUGUGGGAACUACUUUUAUACUUCAGAUCAUUAUCAUUGAGUUACUUGGAAAAUUUACGUCGACGGUUGGACUGAGUUGGAAAUUAUGGAUGGUUUCACUUGUCAUUGGUAUUAUCAGUUGGCCUCUUGCUGCUGCGGGAAAAUUGAUCCCAG